ensembl:lncRNA SNHG1 small nucleolar RNA host gene 1
GGGCCUCUGCGGCAUGGUAUUUAAUCGUCUCCCCGGGGAGAUUCGUUCUCAUUUUUCUACUGCUCGUGGUAAGUGGCUUCGUGGUCUUUAUAGCUGUUACUCUUUUGUACUUUGUCUUUUUCUUUUAUUUUCUUUUGAGCGAUUGUGCGAACAUAGCAUAGCACGCACUAUGCCUUCUGUGUUGUAGCUGCCUGGCCAGGGCGACUGGCGGAUAAGGUCUUGUGCGUGGCCUCGAGGCUUAAAAGUAGCAGUGGGGCUUUGUGAAGGACAAAAUGGCGAUGGCGGGCCGUGUAGGUCCCCCUUCCUAUGAUGAGGACCUUUUCACAGACCUGUACUGAGCUCCGUGAGGAUAAAUAACUCUGAGGAGAUGGGCCCUGCAAGCCUCUUGCUUAGCCGUCUGUUCAGAAAAUAGCGUUUUCGAAAUGCCCUGAGUUGACCUAAUGUCUUAUUGGGCUCCUGUCUGCAGGAUUUACGCGCACGUUGGAACCGAAGAGAGCUCUGUUGUUGCAGUAAGUUCUUACGGCCAUUUCUUAAUCUCUGCUCUUUCGUUGAGUGUGUGGAAGUUGCUACGGGGAUGAUUUUACGAACUGAACUCUCUCUUUCUGAUGGAUUAGUGGAGAAAACAGAAAAUUCUGAGUAGCACUGUACUGUACGCAACAAAUGUCAGGGCCCUAUUGAUUUGUCUGAGGUGUUAGUGAAGGGUGUUAUUUUUUCAGAUGUUCAGCCCACAAGAGCUUACUGGUGAAGGAAUGGGACAAGACCCAUCUUUAUGCAAAGCCAGCGUUACAGUAAUGUUCCAGCAUCUCAUAAUCUAUCCUGGGGAAUUCAGCUGCCUCCCAGGGUGAAUACAGGUAUUCCUGAUGACAGUCUGCCUCUAUCUUACAGUAAGUUGUUUUUCGAAUUCUAUGGGCCUAUUAUCUAAUAGAUAACUUAGCCAUUUUGAUAUUUGUUACCAAAGCCUGCUUAACCCAUAAAGUUUUCUGGUUCCUCUUGUUCUCUGUAGUGAUGUUUCUAGAUAGAUGCCCACUGAUAUAUGCCCCUUUUUUCUCAGAUAGAUGCCCACUGAUCUGCCCAGGGUCAGACGAAUGCUUGUCAGUUGUAGCUUUCCAGGAUUCUGCUCCAAUGAGGAGGAAACAUCCUGCCUUACCCCUGUUUUAGCCUGGGAACCAGUAAUUGUGAACUCACCAGGGUUAACAUGAAGAGGGCAUGAGAGCUUAUUCCAUAAGGAAUUGUCUGAGACAUUUGGUUACCUUUUCUUAGUUUGUCCAUUAGCAACCGUAACUAAAAUAGUUUUGGCUGUUUGGGAUAAUUAGCUAAUUGAAUGAUUUUUUGAUUCAGGAGCAGCUUGUUGCUAUAUACCAUUGAAAAGCCUUCAGAGCUGAGAGGUUAGUUGAUAUUUUUUGUUCCUUACAGCUUAUGCCACCAAGUAGGCAGUUUCUAUGAUGAAUCAAACUAGCUCACUAUGACCGACAGUGAAAAUACAUGAACACCUGAGAAACUGGAGAACGCAGGGAGUGGGGGGUAACCAUGUCUGAGGAAUCUUUCACCCACAGCUUUGUUUUUCUCUAGGUACUACUAACCAAUAACCUGCUUGGCUCAAAGGGCCAGCACCUUCUCUCUAAAGCCCAAGAGGAGUUUGAGGUAAAUGGCUUUGCAAUAGUUACCAUCAAUGGCUGCUAUAUAAAAUUUUCUGUGAUUUUUGUGUGUGAUAGCACUGUGGUCUGGGUGAAUGUACACAGACAUAACUGGCUUAACCCAAAGUCUUUGAUCUCCUGAACCACCAGUGAUGAAUUGCUGCUCACCAGUGAUGAGUUGAAUACCGCCCCAGUCUGAUCAAUGUGUGACUGAAAGGUAUUUUCUGAGCUGUGAGCCUGCCUUCCAGUGACAUGUUCUAAAAAUUGCAAGUUAUUUGAGGAGGCUUUACAGCCAAUAGGAAGUUCUUGGGCUAAGUAGUGUUUCCUAUAAAAUGUGCCCUGAAACUUCUUUCUGCCAAGCAAUAGAUACAAUUGAGAGAUUGUAAAAUGUGACAUAGAAUGAAAGUCUCUCAAGACUACAUUUUUCUUUCUUGAUUUUGCAGGAAAACUAGGUGUCUGUGUUCACUCCAGGCUGAAGUUACAGGUGAGUAAACCUAAAUGUAAGGUGGACUAUGCUAAAAAUUCCCAAUGAAGAAACUUUCACAUGUCUUACUCUCUGUCCUAGUCCCAGAGCCUGUAAAGGUGAACCCACUGGGACUGGCUGGGGGAGAAGAGGAAGAUUUGUUCCAGAAGGAACUGUCUGAGGGAUGAUAAAGAUUUCUAUACAGAGAAAGGGAGUAAUCAUCACUUGUUGAAAACAUUGGUUUUAUUUUUUCCAGGUCUGAGCAAAUAAGGUGUAUAAAAAAUGGAAUCUGUCUUGGAGGACAUCAGAAGGUGAAUUUUCCAAGUUCUUGGACAACCUAGCUGUUGAAAAGCUUUCUGGGUUUGGGGGGUAUUUCAGAUGUACCUUAAAGUGUUAGCAGACACAGAUUAAGACACUGGGAGCCAAUGAAACAGCAGUUGAGGGUUUGCUGUGUAUCACAUUUCUGUAUUUUAUCACCCCCUUCCUGCAACAUUAUUUAUCUGGAAUCUACCUGCCCUUUUGUUUUUUAGAUACAAGGGCUUGGUUUUGUUACCCAGGCUGGUUUCAAGGCCAUAGCUUUAAGAGAUCCUCUCACCACAGAUUUCCAAAGUGCUGGGAUUGCAGGUGUGAUUCAUGGCACCCAGACUUUGCUGCCUUUCUUACAUGAUCCAGGCCCAGAACCCAAACUCAGGCACUGUAUAGAUGACCACUUUCGUAAACUACUGACCUAGCUUGUUGCCAAUUGUUGAUUGAACUUCCCAUAACUCCACUUCGUGUCUGUUCCUCUGUAUACAGCCACCUUCUGUUCCCGUCAUGAGCCUUUAGGUCUCCAUUUGCAUAUUGCAAAUACUAUGUUCCAUGUAGGUAGCUCAUUCAGGGCCUUGCUCUUCACUUCAAAAAAGGUUCCCUUGAGGACUGGCUGUCAAUUUGUGUUGCUGUGUUGGUUGUUGAUGAAAAUAAUAAAAUGA